rnacentral:piRNA from 1 species
AAAAAGAUUUUUUAAAAAUUUCAAAAGGUAGC